AUAUGUUCUUCGUGAACAUGGCGUACUGCUCAGUAACACGUGGAUAACCUGCCCUUGGGUCCGGCAUAACCCCGGGAAACUGGGGAUAAUUCCGGAUAACGCACAUAUGCUGGAAUGCUUUAUGCGUCAAAUGGAUUCGUCUGCCCAAGGAUGGGUCUGCGGCCUAUCAGGUAGUAGUGGGUGUAAUGUACCUACUAGCCGACGACGGGUACGGGUUGUGAGAGCAAGAGCCCGGAGAUGGAUUCUGAGACAUGAAUCCAGGCCCUACGGGGCGCAGCAGGCGCGAAAACUUUACAAUGCGGGAAACCGUGAUAAGGGGACACCGAGUGCCAGCAUCAUAUGCUGGCUGUCCGGGUGUGUAAAAUACACCUGUUAGCAAGGGCCGGGCAAGACCGGUGCCAGCCGCCGCGGUAACACCGGCGGCCCGAGUGGUGAUCGUGAUUAUUGGGUCUAAAGGGUCCGUAGCCGGUUUGGUCAGUCCUCCGGGAAAUCUGACGGCUUAACCGUUAGGCUUUCGGAGGAUACUGCCAGGCUUGGAACCGGGAGAGGUAAGAGGUACUACAGGGGUAGGAGUGAAAUCUUGUAAUCCCUGUGGGACCACCUGUGGCGAAGGCGUCUUACCAGAACGGGUUCGACGGUGAGGGACGAAAGCUGG
rnacentral:rRNA from 1 species